CCCUUAGAUGUUCUGGGCUGCACGCGCGCUACACUGAUGCGUUCAACAAGUUGGACCUCGUCCGAGAGGAAAUCGGGGGAAUCUUUUGAAAACGUAUCGUGAUGGGGAUAGAUUAUUGUAAUUAUUAAUCUUCAACGAGGAAUUCCUAGUAAGCAUGAAUCAUCAAUCCAUGCAGAUUAUGUCCCUGCCCUUUGUACACACCGCCCGUCGCUCCUACUGAUUGGGUGAUCCGGUGAGCUGUUCGGCCAUAGCAAUGUUUCUUGAGCAGGGCAAUGAAUGUUUCGCAAACCUUGCCACUUAGAGGAAGGAGAAGUCGUAACA
rnacentral:rRNA from 1 species